UCCGAGUUGACCCCGGCAGUCUUCCACGAGUCCCCGGCAUUAUCCGCUGGCAACAUAGAAUAAGGGUUGCGCUCGUUGCGGGGCUUAACCCAACAUCUCACGACACGAGCUGACGACAGCCAUGCAGCACCUGUGUUCUAGCCAGCCGAACUGAGGAAUCCCAUCUCUGGAACCCAUACUAGACAUGUCAAGGGUAGGUAAGGUUCUGCGCGUUGCUUCGAAUUAAACCACAUGCUCCGCCGCUUGUGCGGGCCCCCGUCAAUUCCUUUGAGUUUCAAUCUUGCGAUCGUACUUCCCAGGUGGGAUACUUAAUGCUUUCGCUCAGACACACACAGUGUAUCGCGUAUGUCGAGUAUCCAUCGUUUAGGGCGUGGACUAC
rnacentral:misc_RNA from 1 species